GACUCAGUGAAUCAAAUGACUCAAAAAACCCGAUUCACUUUGGUGAGUGACUCAUUAAAACUCGAUUCAGUAAAAAGAAUCAAAUUUACCAUCACUAUCCUGAUCAUUUAUAAUAAAGAACUAAAUCUGUACAUAAUUCCUGUGGAUUUUGUAUUUAGUCUUGAGAAACAGCCUCAGUGGUGAGCAGUUCAGUGACAGAAGGACGUCCUAUCUCGGGAGACAACGAGACAGGAGACACAAACGUUGAGCACAGGAUAGCGGAGUUCGGAGCCUUGCCCCUGCGGGGAUUUUAUUGUUGUUUUCAUGUGAAAUAAUUUAUUUUUUAGAAACUUAGUUUUUAUAUUCUUUAUUGCCUUGAAUCCUCCACUGAUCUUCCGGUUUUAGAAGGGUUUUUCUUCACAGAGAACACCUCAUGACAAUCCCAAGGUGUUGUAGGCAUGUCACGAUUUGAACUUUAUUCUCAACAUCAACUUUUUUUUCUUCUUAAUUUGCCCCUAAUAAUACAUCGUAACAUUCACUACAGACUGAAUAUGGGUUAUUUUUAUCUACCCAGGAUAAAUAAACUUACUGCUGUGGUGAAAUAAAGUUUCUAAAAAAUGAGUCAACACUACACGUGAGCAAAAACAACACAGAAAAACUCCACAACUGCGUGGAAUCCCCCCCCACCUCAUAUCAUGGCGGAUGGUGCGAUUAUAUAUUUGCUUUCUCUUCUAAUGGUCUGUUCUGAAGGUAAGCUGUGUUCAGUAUUCUCUGUUUUGUUUUUAAAGCUGUUUUGUGGAUGGGAGAAGAAAAAACGUUUCACUCGUAAUUAUUAGAAACUGAUCUCAAAGAGGUCACAAGUAUGAUUUUUGUUUUUCAUCUGAAGCCAUGAGAGAUUCUAUACGAACAGUGGAGACAUUAGAUUUUAUUUCUGUGAAUAUGGAUUAUUUUCAUUAAGCGUUUACUGCAGCUGAUGCUCCACACGGAAGAAAAAACUGUUCUUAAUACUGGUUUAAUGAACAUGUUUGUUAAUUAAUUUUCUCUUCCCAUAUUUUUUUUACUCUACAACAUUAUCACUGGAGUAUACCCAAUACACCAUUCUAGUAUUCAUUAAAAUCUUCAGCAGUCAGGAGAUGUUUGGUACAGUAUGAGUAUUGUUCAUUUUGUAAAAACAUAAUGUUUAAUUGAUUCCCACUUUUUAUGUUAGAUAACAAAAUAUGAGAUAGGCCAUUUUCAUACUACAACUAAGAAUUACUAUUAUCAUUAUUUUUUCCCUGUCCUGUCCAGAACUGUAGUAAUCAGAAUUACUGUCUGAAAGCCAAGAAAAAUGGCCAACAGAUUUAUUUUGCGAAGUGGACCUUAUGCUAUACUGGUCCACUUGAUUGUUAUACACUGUAAAAAAAAAAAAUACAGUACAAUCUACUGUAUAAACGUGAAGGAAUUUUCCGUAUUAGUCAUUUACAGGUAUUUUUCUGUAUGUCUUGACUACUGCAAUGCAUUGUGGGAAAAAGAACCCGAAAAGGAGGGAAAAGUAAGAGCAAAAGCAGCCAUUAGGCUUCUUUCAGGCUUCAUCUGGAUUUUGAACUCUGGAGUUGGAGAAACUGCUUUAAAAUCUCUGUGGUAAGUAUUAAAACUCAUGUUUUCUUUUAUUAAAAUAAUGUUUUUAAAAAGACUCCGUGUUUUUAUUUAGAAAGAAUUGUUAAUUUAUUUGUUAACUGGUUUCGGCUGUCUCCAGACAAGUCAGGAAUAUUUUGCUGACUCAUUUUU